ACAGUCCCUGGGCUGACAUCACCGGCACAUCCCCAGCCCAGAGCCGGGAAGAGGCUGGAGGCAGAGGUGGGGCAGCCUCCCUCCCGGGAGCCCUCGUGGGCUGCCCAGCACACGGCGGACACGGUCACCAGUCCCAACUAACACGCGCCCAGACUCAGAUCAGAGCCGCCCGCAUGCUGGGCCCGUCGGGAGAGCCUCGGCUCCUGCUCCUGGGCCCUGUCUAACCGACGCCGGCCUCCACGAGAGAUGCUGCCCGUAAACAUUCCGGAGGCACCGAGGGGUGUGUGUGCACAGGAGGCAAAAGACAGCGAGUGGCGAGACGCUGGGGAGGAGGAAGGGCUGACUCCCACUGCCCACGGGAGAACUCGAGUCCCACCCACGAGCUUGGACCUUCCCCACGGCCCUGCCAAGGCCCCCAGCACCCAGGUCAGGCUCAGUCCCUGGGCCGUGGGCACCAUGCCCACGCAGCACACCACAGUGCUCUCAGACCCGGGCAGGCGACAGCAUAGGUCAUCUGUGCGCACACGCAGCUCCACCUCAGGAGGCCCUGGGCACACUCCAGGCUGCCCAGCCCGGCCGGGCCCCACCUCCGGCCAGACAUGCAGCAGGACAGCCCCUCUCUCCCAAGGAGCAGGCGGCACCCCGACUCUCCAUGUCACACCUCGUUCCUGGCCACCCAGAGCCCCAGCGGGCCAGCGCUGGCCCAGGGUGCUGGAUGGAGCAGAUAAACACAGGGCGCCCAGCACAACGCGGAGUCUCAGAUAACCAACGGAUCACUUGGCGCAUGGGCGUCCCACGCAGUGUUCGGGACAGACUAGCAGGAAGCAAUUUUCAGUUGUUCGUCUGAAAUUAAAACCUAGCUGGGGGCCCCUCGCCUUCACCCGGCCACAAGGACACGACGUUUCCCAGCUCCCAGGCCCUCGGGCCAAGGCGCGGGCAGGAGCCGGGGCCACAGGCACAGGGAGCUGGAUCGACCCCCCGCAGGGCUCACUGGCCAGGGCGCGAAUGGUUUCUACGCAGUUCUGUAUAUUUCCCAAAGCCAAGCAUUUCCAAAGGAAACUUAGCUUCCAGCUGGGGACGAGCUGCGGUGUCAACGCACACCCAAAUGAAAGAAGCGACCAGCCACCUCAGUGACAGUCUCGGACGCCGACCACACGUGUAAGCGGUCAGGUCCUGUAUGCACCGAGAUGAAUAAAACAAAUUUCACCUGCUGCUUUUUGCAUUUUAA
rnacentral:lncRNA from 1 species